rnacentral:rRNA from 1 species
CAAGUCGAGGGGUAACAUAGAAAAGCUUGCUUUUCUGAUGACGACCGGCGCACGGGUGCGUAACGCGUAUACAACCUACCUUUUAGCGGGGAAUAGCCCAGGGAAACUUGGAUUAAUGCCCCAUAGUAUAUAGACUUCUCCUGAAGUUUAUAUUAAACAUUUAUGGCUAUUAGAUGGGUAUGCGUCCUAUUAGUUAGUUGGUAAGGUAACGGCUUACCAAGGCAGCGAUAGGUAGGGGUCCUGAGAGGGAGAUCCCCCACACUGGUACUGAGACACGGACCAGACUCCUACGGGAGGCAGCAGUGAGGAAUAUUGGACAAUGGGCGAGAGCCUGAUCCAGCCAUGCCGCGUGCAGGAAGACUGCCCUAUGGGUUGUAAACUGCUUUUACAGAGGAAGAACCACCCCCACGUGUGGGGGUUUGACGGUACUCUGCGAAUAAGGAUCGGCUAACUCCGUGCCAGCAGCCGCGGUAAUACGGAGGAUCCAAGCGUUAUCCGGAAUCAUUGGGUUUAAAGGGUCCGUAGGCGGGCAGUUAAGUCAGUGGUGAAAGUCUUCCGCUCAACGGGAGAACUGCCAUUGAUACUGAUUGUCUUGAGUUAUUAUGAAGUGGUUAGAAUGAGUAGUGUAGCGGUGAAAUGCAUAGAUAUUACUCAGAAUACCGAUUGCGAAGGCAGAUCACUAAUAAUAUACUGACGCUGAUGGACGAAAGCGUAGGUAGCGAACAGGAUUAGAUACCCUGGUAGUCUACGCCGUAAACGAUGGUUACUAGCUGUUCGGCCCAAUUGAGGGCUGAGUGGUUAAGCGAAAGUGAUAAGUAACCCACCUGGGGAGUACGUUCGCAAGAAUGAAACUCAAAGGAAUUGACGGGGGCCCGCACAAGCGGUGGAGCAUGUGGUUUAAUUCGAUGAUACGCGAGGAACCUUACCAGGGCUUAAAUGUAGUCUGACAGGUCUGGAAACAGACUUUUCUUCGGACAGAUUACAAGGUGCUGCAUGGUUGUCGUCAGCUCGUGCCGUGAGGUGUCAGGUUAAGUCCUAUAACGAGCGCAACCCCUGUGGUUAGUUGCCAGCGAGUAAUGUCGGGAACUCUAGCCAGACUGCCGGUGCAAACCGCGAGGAAGGUGGGGAUGACGUCAAAUCAUCACGGCCCUUACGUCCUGGGCCACACACGUGCUACAAUGGUAGGGACAGAGAGCAGCCACUUCGCGAGAAGGAGCGAAUCUACAAACCCUAUCACAGUUCGGAUCGCAGUCUGCAACUCGACUGCGUGAAGCUGGAAUCGCUAGUAAUCGCAUAUCAGCCAUGAUGCGGUGAAUACGUUCCCGGGCCUUGUACACACCGCCCGUCAAGCCAUGGAAGCCGGGGGUACCUGAAGUCGGUCACCGCAAGGAGCCGCCUAGGGUAAAACUGGUAACUGGGGCUAA